GUAGGUGAACCUGCGGAAGGAUCAUUCACACGUUUCAUCCAAACGUAUCAACCCAAUGAGAACCUGUUUUCCUCCGCCCCUCGCACGAAUGAAUGGGAAUCAGUCCAGUGUAGUGAUUGGGACCGAGAGGUCAGCCUGGCUGUUACACACUGCUACUCGUUGAGAAAUCAGCGGGUGCGACCAUUGGAUCGCUGUCGAGGCCACCCGUCUUACUAAACAAUCUCCGAUCAUGAUUGCGUUAGUAGGGCAC
rnacentral:misc_RNA from 1 species